GAUGAAGAACGCAGUGAAAUGCGAUAAGUAAUGCGAAUUGCAGAAUCCGUGAGUCAUCGAAUCUUUGAACGCAUAUUGCGCCCUUUGGCAUUCCGAAGGGCAUGCCUGUUCGAGCGUCAUUAUCACCCCUCAAGCCCCGGCUUGGUGUUGGGCCCCCGGUGGUCGUACCCGACCACCCGCCUCAAAGAUAGUGACGGCGUCCCAGAGGGAACCGGUACGAGGAGCUUUCACGAGCAUGUACGCGGGGACGACUCUGUGGGCGACGGUCUUUUUUAACCUUAAUAUAUCAAGUGUUGACCUCGGAUCAGGUAGGAAUACCCGCUGAACUUAAGCAUAUCAAUAAGCGGAGGA
rnacentral:misc_RNA from 1 species